CCUUUCAGUGGGAACGAAAUUGACGGUACCCACAGAAGAAGCCCCGGCUAACUACGUGCCAGCAGCCGCGGUGAUACGUAGGGGGCGAGCGUUGUCUGGAUUUACUGGGCGUAAGAGCUCGUAGGCGGUUCAACAAGUCGGGUGUUAAACCCCCAGGCUCAACCUGGGGCCGCCACCCGAAACUGUUGUGACUAGAGUUUGGUAGGGGAUCAGGGAAUUCCUGGUGUAGCGGUGGAAUGCGCAGAUAUCAGGAGGAGCACCAGUGGCGAAGGCGGUGAUCUGGGCCAAUACUGACGCUGAGGAGCGAAAGCGUGGGGAGCGAACAGGAUUAGAUACCAUGGUAGUCCACGCCGUAAACGGUGGUCUCUAGGUGUGGGGACUUUUCUAACGGUCUCCUGCGCCCGCCAGACCUAACGCCAAAAAUAAGUUCCCCCG
rnacentral:rRNA from 1 species